UACGUAGGGGGCAAGCGUUGUCCGGAUUCAUUGGGCGUAAAGAGCUCGUAGGCGGCUUGGCAAGUCGGGUGUGAAACCUCCAGGCUCAACCUGGAGACGCCACCCGAUACUGCCAUGGCUAGAGUCCGGUAGGGGACCACGGAAUUCCUGGUGUAGCGGUGAAAUGCGCAGAUAUCAGGAGGAACACCGGUGGCGAAGGCGGGUCUCUGCGACGGUACUGACGCUGAGACGCGAAAGCGUGGGGAGCGAACAGG
rnacentral:rRNA from 1 species